rnacentral:rRNA from 1 species
CAAGGUAAGCCGGGAGCUAAGGCGAGGCCGAGAGGCGUAGUCGAUGCACAUACGGUAAAGAUUCCGUAGCCACCGAAGUCGUUAAAUACAGGGACACAGGAACAUAGCCUAACCCCACCGUUGGUUGAGUGGGGCGUAAGGGAGCGAAAAAUAGUAGCGAAGUAGGUGAUUGUACACUGGCGAGAAAAGCUGUAUGUAUUGACAAGGUGCCCGUACCGCAAACCGACACAGGUAGAUGAGGAGAGAAUCCUAAGACCAGCGGGAGAAGUGUUGUUAAGGAACUCGGCAAAAUGACCCCGUAACUUCGGGAUAAGGGGAGCCUACGCGAGUAGGCCGCAGAGAAUAGUCUCAAGCGACUGUUUAGCAAAAACACAGGUCUAUGCUAAAUCGAAAGAUGAUGUAUAUGGGCUGACGCCUGCCCGGUGCUGGAAGGUUAAGGGGAAGUGUUAGAGCAAUCGAAGCACUGAACUUAAGCCCCAGUAAACGGCGGCCGUAACUAUAACGGUCCUAAGGUAGCGAAAUUCCUUGUCAGGUAAGUUCUGACCCGCACGAAUGGCGUAACGACUUGAGAGCUGUCUCAACAACAUACCCGGCGAAAUUGAAGUACUGGUAAAGAUGCCAGUUACCCGUGAUAAGACGGAAAGACCCCAUGGAGCUUUACUGUAACUUGAUAUUGAAUUUUUGUAUUACAUGUACAGGAUAGGUGGGAGACAGAGAACUAAUGCCGCCAGGUGUUAGGGAGUCGAUGUUGGGAUACCACUCUUGUAAUAUGAAGGUUCUAACCUGCACCCGUGAAUCCGGGUGGGGGACACUGUCAGGUGGACAGUUUGACUGGGGCGGUCGCCUCCUAAAAGGUAACGGAGGCGUUCAAAGGUUGGUUCAGCACGGACGGAAAUCGUGCAACGAGUGCAAACGCAUAAACCAGCCUAACUGCGAGACCGACAAGUCGAGCAGUAACGAAAGUUGGAGUUAGUGAUCCGGCGGUAUGAGAGUGGAAUUGCCGUCGCUCAACGGAUAAAAGCUACCCUGGGGAUAACAGGCUGAUCUCCCCCAAGAGUCCACAUCGACGGGGAGGUUUGGCACCUCGAUGUCGGCUCAUCGC